UACGAGGGGGGCAAGCGUUGUUCGGAAUUAUUGGGCGUAAAGGGCGCGUAGGCGGUGCGGUAAGUCACCUGUGAAACCUCUAGGCUCAACCUAGAGCCUGCAGGCGAAACUGCCGUGCUUGAGGGUGGGAGAGGUGCGUGGAAUUCCCGGUGUGGCGGUGAAAUGCGUAGAUAUCGGGAGGAACACCUGUGGCGAAAGCGGCGCACUGGACCACAUCUGACGCUGAGGCGCGAAAGCUAGGGGAGCAAACGGG
rnacentral:rRNA from 1 species